UACGGGGGGGGCAAGCGUUGUUCGGAAUUACUGGGCGUAAAGGGCUCGUAGGCGGCCAACUAAGUCGGAUGUGAAAUCCCCAAGCUUAACUUGGGAACUGCAUCCGAUACUGCAGUGCUUGAGGACUGGAGAGGAGACUGGAAUUUACGGUGUAGCGGUGAAAUGCGUAGAUAUCGGAAGGAAGACCAGUGGCGAAGGCGGGUCUCUGGACAGUGCCUGACGCUGAGGCACGAAGGUCAGGGGAGCAAACGGG
rnacentral:rRNA from 1 species